CACUCGAUAGCACAUGGUGUGCGUCUGCCAAUUGUUGUGGUUUUCAAGAACGCUUAAGCAGGAGGUCCGUGUUCGAUUCGCGGUCGGGUGA